rnacentral:rRNA from 1 species
AAGACAUUGUGUCUUCGAGUCGUUGAUUUCACACUGCCGAGAAAAGCCUCUAGAUAGAAAAUAGGUGCCCGUACCGCAAACCGACACAGGUAGUCAAGAUGAGAAUUCUAAGGUGAGCGAGCGAACUCUCGUUAAGGAACUCGGCAAAAUGACCCCGUAACUUCGGGAGAAGGGGUGCUCUUUAGGGUUAACGCCCAGAAGAGCCGCAGUGAAUAGGCCCAAGCGACUGUUUAUCAAAAACACAGGUCUCUGCUAAACCGUAAGGUGAUGUAUAGGGGCUGACGCCUGCCCGGUGCUGGAAGGUUAAGAGGAGUGGUUAGCUUCUGCGAAGCUACGAAUCGAAGCCCCAGUAAACGGCGGCCGUAACUAUAACGGUCCUAAGGUAGCGAAAUUCCUUGUCGGGUAAGUUCCGACCCGCACGAAAGGCGUAACGAUUUGGGCACUGUCUCAACGAGAGACUCGGUGAAAUCAUAGUACCUGUGAAGAUGCAGGUUACCCGCGACAGGACGGAAAGACCCCGUGGAGCUUUACUGUAGCCUGAUAUUGAAAUUCGGCACAGCUUGUACAGGAUAGGUAGGAGCCUUUGAAACGUGAGCGCUAGCUUACGUGGAGGCGCUGGUGGGAUACUACCCUAGCUGUGUUGGCUUUCUAACCCGCACCACUUAUCGUG